UACGUAGGUGGCAAGCGUUGUCCGGAUUUACUGGGCGUAAAGAGCGCGCAGGCGGCCGAGUAAGUCGAAUGGGAAAGCCCCCGGCUCAACUGGGGAAGGUCAUUCGAUACUGUUCGGCUCGAAGAUAGGAGAGGGAAGCGGAAUUUCAGGUGUAGUGGUGAAAUGCGUAGAUAUCUGAAGGAACACCAGUGGCGAAGGCGGCUUUCUGGCCUAUUCUUGACGCUGAGGCGCGAAAGCUAGGGGAGCGAACGGG
rnacentral:rRNA from 1 species